rnacentral:lncRNA from 10 species
ACUGGUCUUGAACUCCUGACCUCGUGAUACUCAGCCUCCCAAAGUGCUGGGAUUACAGGAGUGAACCACCAAGCCCGGCUUGACCUCUUGGCUUUUACCAAAGGAUGUUUGCUUCUGAGGAAGCUGGAAGCUGCAGCCACAAUGUGCCUUUGCAGGGGAGCCUGAGAGCCACAGGAUGGAAUACAGGGGGGACAGUUAGAUUCUGAAUUGUUAAGCAGAGCUGCUUGAUGCAGAAGAUGAAGACACAAGAAAGAAUGAGCCUAGGCCGGGCACAGUGGCUCACGCCUGUAAUUCCAGCACUUCGGGAGGCCGAGGCGGGAGGAUCACUUGAGCUCAGGAGUUUGAGACCGGCCUGGCCACCAUGGUGAAACCUCGACUCUACCAAAAAAAAAAAAAAAAAGCCAAAAUUAGCCGGGUGUGGUGGCAUAUGCCUGUGGUCCCAGCUACUUGGGAGGCUGAAGUGGGAGAAUCACUUGAGCCCAGGAGGCUGCAGUUGCAGUGAGCUGAUAUUAUGCCACUGCACUCCAGCCUGGGUGACAGGGUGAGACCCUGUC